AUGCAUCCUUACGAAUAUAAGAGUGUUUUUUUGGGUAUAGCAGGACUUGAACCUGCGACCAUUAGGUUACAAUAUGGUAUAGAUAAUCCAGAAGAAGUCUGCAUAAAAGUCUUUGCCCAAAAGGAUAAUCCUAGAAUUCCGUCUGUCUUCUGGAUUUGGAGAAGUGCCGAUUUUUAAGAAUGCGAAUCUUAUGAUAUGACGGGAAUCUCUUAUGAUAAUCAUCCGCGCCUUAAACGUAUCCUAAUACCUGAAAGUUGGAUAGGGUGUUUCAGUCUCUGUACUCGUCCCUAG
rnacentral:rRNA from 1 species